rnacentral:rRNA from 1 species
CCUACGGGAGGCAGCAGUGGGGAAUAUUGCACAAUGGGGGAAACCCUGAUGCAGCGACGCCGCGUGAGUGAAGAAGUAAUUCGGUAUGUAAAGCUCUAUCAGCAGGGAAGAAAAUAACGGUACCUGAGUAAGAAGCCCCGACUAACUACGUGCCAGCAGCAGCGGUAAUACGUAGGUGGCAAGCGUUAUCCGGAUUUACUAGGUGUAAAGGGAGCGUAGACGGCAGUGCAAGUCUGUAGUGAAAGGCGGGGGCUCAACCACCGGACUGCUCUGGAGACUGUACGGCUGGAGUGCAGGAGAGGUAAGUGGAAUUCCUAGUGUAGCGGUGAAAUGCGUAGAUAUUAGGAGGAACACCAGUGGCGAAGGCGGCUUACUGGACUGUAACCGACGUUGAGGCUCGAAAGCGUGGGGAGCAAACAGGAUUAGAUACCCCAGUAGUC